ensembl:rRNA 5S_rRNA 5S ribosomal RNA
GUCUACGGUCAUACCACCCUGAACGCACCUGAUCCCGUCUGAUCUCAGAAGCUAAGCAGGGUCGGGCCUGGUUAGUACUUGGAUGGGAGAAAACAUGAAAUCCAGAAAAUAAUGGAAU